GAUGAACGCUGGCGGCGUGCUUAACACAUGCAAGUCGAACGGAAAGGCCCAAGCUUGCUUGGGUACUCGAGUGGCGAACGGGUGAGUAACACGUGGGUGAUCUGCCCUGCACUUCGGGAUAAGCCUGGGAAACUGGGUCUAAUACCGGAUAGGACCACUUCUUGGAUGUUGUGGUGGAAAGUUUUUUCGGUGUGGGAUGAGCUCGCGGCCUAUCAGCUUGUUGGUGGGGUAAUGGCCUACCAAGGCGUCGACGGGUAGCCGGCCUGAGAGGGUGUACGGCCACAUUGGGACUGAGAUACGGCCCAGACUCCUACGGGAGGCAGCAGUGGGGAAUAUUGCACAAUGGGCGCAAGCCUGAUGCAGCGACGCCGCGUGGGGGAUGACGGCCUUCGGGUUGUAAACUCCUUUCGCUAGGGACGAAGCGUUUUUGUGACGGUACCUGGAGAAGAAGCACCGGCUAACUACGUGCCAGCCGCCGCCGUAACAC
rnacentral:rRNA from 1 species